rnacentral:tRNA from 1 species
GGGGCUGUGGCGCAGUGGGAGCGCAUCACACUGGCAGUGUGGGGGUCGCGGGUUCGAAUCCCGCCAGCUCCACCG